rnacentral:pre_miRNA from 1 species
AGUGGAAUUUCUGGGUUAGAUGGUAAGGAUGAGUUUGACUUUAAAAGAAAAUGCUAAACUGUUUUCCAAAGUGUCUUUACUACUUUGCAUUCCCACCAGCAAU